GGAAACAGGAAAUGGUUGGUUGUGAUGGAGAAAGAAGACGUCGGCAAUUGUCUAGUUGCGAUGGAGAAUGAAGACGCCGGAAGUUGUCUGGUUGCGAUGGGAAAAGAAGACGUCGACAGCCGUCUGAAUGUGAAGGAGAAAGAAAACGCCGGCAAGUGGCGAUCUACGGUGGUUCGAGAAGGUGAUCUCGAAUAGGGGUGAAUCGUGUGAAGAGGAAGAAGAAGUUGCUUACGUGAUGCAGUCAAUGACGUGGCGGGAAGUGAUAAGGAAAAGGGUUAGGGCAAGAGAAAUAAACCUCCUAAAUCUUAGGUCUUUCUAUUUCAAGUGAGCUUCAGCUUAUUUUAAAUGAGCUUCAACUUAUUCUAAAUAAAAUAGUAGAGGCCCAUCAUUUUGUAGAUGAAGUGGGUGGUGAGUUCCAAAAAGGGGAGAGAGUUCUUAUUAUGGGCUUUAUUGAUUAUGGGCCUAACCCACGGGAGAAGAAGAGUUUGAAAAUUAAAUACUUGGUGGUGAUAUGCAAAGGAUUAAGUAUAACAACGUAUUUGGGAAAAGGAUGAUUCAGCAACAUUCGGCUGGUUUGUGGGCUGAAGGAAAAUUAUCUUGGGCAAUGGGCUGAAGUCAAUGGGUCUUAUUGGAGCCAAGCCAGCUUCAAAUUUAUUUCUCAAACUUGAUGGGCAUAUUGCUGAGAAUGGUUGGUAAUUAAUAAAAGAAAAAAAAAAGGUCAAUUUUGUGAUCAUAUUUGUAAGCACACCUCGGGACAAGUUGUUUUUGAAGACCCAGGUAAUACUCCAUACCUAGAUUAGUAUAGGGUAGGGGUAUAAAGGUAAUUAGAUAUGUAGGCAGUUAGAUGAUUUAUAAAUAGGAAGUUGGGGAGGAAAGAAAGGGAGAUCAGUUUGGUGGGUAGUUUUCUUCUGCACUCUUCCUUGAGAGAGAGGAUAGGCAAAGAGGGUAGUAUUUUACUUGUUCUUAGUUAAUUUCUACAUUUUCAUCUCAGAAUUGAUAUUCAUCAAUUCUUCUCUGCAAUAGUGAGGUUUAUAUCAAUUGAAUAAGAACACAUCUUACUGGUGUUCUGUCAUUUGAUUCCCUAAGUUUUGCAUUAUUAAUUAGUUUUUAGUUUUUUCUUUUUUCAAUAUUUGUGGGUGUGGCCGCCAACUUAUGCAUACUCCACCUAAUCUUACGAGACAACUUGUUUGACCUUACAACAUUUGGAUGUCAAGAAAAUUCGUAGGAUAUUAAAUCGCAGAUAGCUGACCACCAUAGAUUGAA